AGAGUUUGAUCCUGGCUCAGGACGAACGCUGGCGGCGUGCCUAAUACAUGCAAGUCGAACGAGAGCGACCGGUGCUUGCACUGGUCAAUCUAGUGGCGAACGGGUGAGUAACACGUGGGUAACCUGCCCAUCAGAGGGGGAUAACAUCCGGAAACGGAUGCUAAAACCGCAUAGGUCUUUGAACCGCAUGGUUUGAAGAGGAAAAGAGGCGCAAGCUUCUGCUGAUGGAUGGACCCGCGGUGCAUUAGCUAGUUGGUGAGGUAACGGCUCACCAAGGCCGUGAUGCAUAGCCGACCUGAGAGGGUGAUCGGCCACAUUGGGACUGAGACACGGCCCAGACUCCUACGGGAGGCAGCAGUAGGGAAUCUUCGGCAAUGGACGGAAGUCUGACCGAGCAACGCCGCGUGAGUGAAGAAGGUUUUCGGAUCGUAAAGCUCUGUUGUAAGAGAAGAACGAGUGUGAGAGUGGAAAGUUCACACUGUGACGGUAUCUUACCAGAAAGGGACGGCUAACUACGUGCCAGCAGCCGCGGUAAUACGUAGGUCCCGAGCGUUGUCCGGAUUUAUUGCGCGUAAAGCGAGCGCACGCGGUUACAUAAGUCUGAAGUUAAAGGCUGUCGC
rnacentral:rRNA from 1 species